rnacentral:rRNA from 1 species
GGACGAACCUCUGGUGUUCGGGUUGUCAUGCCAAUGGCAUUGCCCGGUAGCUAAGUUCGGAAUCGAUAAGCGCUGAAAGCAUCUAAGCGCGAAGCGAGCCCUGAGAUGAGUCUUCCCUGGCACUUUAAGUGUCCUAAAGGGUUGUUCAAGACUAGAACGUUGAUAGGCAGGGUGUGUAAGUGCUGUGAGGCAUUGAGCUAACCUGUACUAAUUGCCCGUGAGGCUUAACCAUACAACACCCAAGGGGUUU